UACAGAGGGCCCAAGCGUUGUUCGGAUUCAUUGGGCGUAAAGGGUGCGUAGGCGGCGCGGCAAGUCGGGUGUGAAAUCUCGGAGCUUAACUCCGAAACUGCAUUCGAUACUGCCGUGCUGGAGGACUGGAGAGGAGACUGGAAUUUACGGUGUAGCGGUGAAAUGCGUAGAUAUCGUAAGGAAGACCAGUGGCGAAGGCGGGUCUCUGGACAGUUCCUGACGCUGAGGCACGAAGGCCAGGGGAGCAAACGGG
rnacentral:rRNA from 1 species